CAUUUGAGCUUCUCCUAACACAAGACUCCUAAAGUAUCCACUUAUAUCUGUUACUAUAUUUCUAGUAUGCAAAACUCUCAUAAAAACAAAUCAUGGCCAACUUUUUGUCACUUUAAUCCCAUCACUGAGGUUUAAUAUGUUGCAAAAAAAAAUCAACAUUUUAUUCAGAAAAAAAGGCUGAAUCCCAUAAAAGUCUUUUUGUUUGCUGAAACCGAAAUGCUGAAGUCAGUUUUUUCAGCCUUAAUGAUCGAAAUGCCUUCCCAUUUCUUCUCCUUUGCCAUGUUUUGACUAAGGAAUGUUGAAGUUUUUUGUUGCACUUUAAUUUUGGCAAAAUGAAGUACCUCAUGGAAAUCUGAUACUCUUUUGGCAAAUCAAAGCUUUGAGACAGCUUUCUAAGUCUAAGUCAAGUGAUCUAUCUGUACGGUUGUUUGUUGUAUCAUGCAGUAUAUGAUGAGCUGAAUGAUUACCUGGAAACAAAUAUUCCCAUUUUCUAAUAGUUUGUAGGUUGGCCCCCCGAGGUUAACCUUUGCACUUCCAUACAAAGUUUCUGAGGAAAACAUUACCAGAGGAUCCUCAAAAAAUGCAGAGAGAUGUAGACGAACAUCUGAGAUCAAGAGCACAGGACUUGAUCCCAAACAAAAAGGAACUGACAUUAGGCUGGCCAAUCAACAACUACCAGCUUCUCUGCUUUUCCCAUUUUUCUGAGAGAGAGAUUCCAUUUGCCUUUUCCCAGGACCUCACCCAUCCUCAGAAAUCUCCAUGGAUGGAAGGCUAGAGAGCUGAACUGAAUACCGCUUACAUUUUCCGAGACCCUUCCGGGAGGGACUGAAUCAAUCACAAGCAUAAUUCAACAUCGGGUAAGCUAAAUCUUAUCACUUGACUCCUUACAGCUUUCCAUCACCACCUAGCUAGCAGGCAGAUCACCCAUUUUUGCAUAACAGGGCCUUAUUCUUAACAUGACCCAGUCUCUUUAGCUGUAGCACGCUCCCUCCCCUAAGUAAGCUGCUUGUUAGCCUUAUCUCAUCAGCUGGGAGACAGCUGAUUAGUUACAGGUAGAGGCUAAACCCAUCUCCUUAAAGCCCCGACUCACAUGUGACCAGAGGAGUAUUUUUUUCAUACUUGAGAAUGCCAGUCUUGCUAAGCAUAUACUUAAGAGAAUUACAGGUUACUAGGAAACUAGAUGAAAUUAUGUGACCUAUGUUAUACAGAACAAUGGAUUAGAUGAGAAAUUGGCCUCUUUCUUCUUAAAUCCUGUGAAUGUAUUUUUAUUUUAGUAGUGCGAGAAAUGCUUCAACUUGUGUCUAAGUUUUAAAAGGAUAUGCCCUACUACAUGAGAGCAUUAUUGUCGCAAGGAAACUGUCUCUUUAAAUGAAGCCAUUGGCUUGAGAAUGGAUAUCUACAAAACAGGCUAACUGAAGCUUUUGAAGGAGUUUUUCACUUUUCAGUUUGAGCUUCUAAUGUAAUCACCUCUGCAGUUAAAUAUAACUGUAUUUAUCUGCCAUUAUUUACAAAACAAGUAUUUGGGAGUGUACUGAAAAGUAGAGAAAAGUGGUAGUGUGGCACCUGAGCUAAGAUAAGGGGAAGGGAAGGAAGAUGCAUGCAA
ensembl:lncRNA